GAUGAACGCUGGCGGCGUGCCUAAUACAUGCAAGUCGAGCGAACAGAUGAGGAGCUUGCUCCUCUGACGUUAGCGGCGGACGGGUGAGUAACACGUGGAUAACCUACCUAUAAGACUGGGAUAACUUCGGGAAACCGGAGCUAAUACCGGAUAAUAUAUUGAACCGCAUGGUUCAAUAGUGAAAGACGGUUUUGCUGUCACUUAUAGAUGGAUCCGCGCCGCAUUAGCUAGUUGGUAAGGUAACGGCUUACCAAGGCAACGAUGCGUAGCCGACCUGAGAGGGUGAUCGGCCACACUGGAACUGAGACGCGGUCCAGACUCCUACGGGAGGCAGCAGUAGGGAAUCUUCCGCAAUGGGCGAAAGCCUGACGGAGCAACGCCGCGUGAGUGAUGAAGGUCUUCGGAUCGUAAAACUCUGCUAUUAGGGAAGAACAAAUGUGUAAGUAACUAUGCACGUCUUGACGGUACCUAAUCAGAAAGCCACGGCUAACUACGUG
rnacentral:rRNA from 1 species